CAGUAAUAGAAGAACAUAUAUUAAUUUACAUUGAUUAUUUAGUAAUUAUUCGUUAUUAACAUAGUUUAUACGGCGAAAUAUCUACUUUUUGAUAUGGGACGUGCUCUGACGUCCCUCGGCCCUAGCUUGUCUGGCAAAACAGCGGUUGCACAUCAGAGCAAUCUGUGAAACGUGGAGACCUCUGAAGAUCCUCGCCAAAAUAAAAAAUAAGAGGUAAAACACUAGAAAAUAUCCUGUAAUCAUAUAAAGCAUCAAAACAAAUAAAAACAUUGACAACAAUAAGGCUUAUAAAAAAGAAGAUGUGCCGGUAUGAUUGCCAAUGAGACAACUAUCCACAAAAGACCAAAAUGACACAGACAUUAACAACUAUAGGUCACCGUACGGCCUUCAACAAUGAGCAAAGCCCAUACCGCAAAGUCAGCUAUAAUAGGUCCCGAUAAGACAAUGUAAAACAAUUCAAACGAGAAAACUAACGGCCUUAUUUAUGUAAAAAAAAAAUGAACGAAAAACAAAUAUGUAACACAUAAACAAACGACAACCACUGAAUUACAGGCUCCUGACUUGGGACAGGCACAUACAUAAAUAAUGUGGCGGGGUUAAACAUGUUAGCGGGAUCCCAACCCUCCUCCUAACCUGGGACAGUGGUAUAAAAGUAACUCAUCAGAUGGAUACAUCUAACAAAAAUCUAUGAUUAUUUCAAGAAAAUUAUCAAUGCAUAUGAGCAUAUAAUAUAAAAAAAGAUAUGGUAUGAUUGCCAAUGAAACAACUCUUCACAAGAGACCUAUACAAUUUUAUCAAGUGAGAUGUAAAUAUUUCUGUACUUAACUUUUAAAUUCCACUUAUUUUUUUUUCAUGUUAAAAAUUCAAUAUCCUUAUAAAUGCAUCAAUAUCCCAUAUCCCAUUUACUAUUAGGACAAAUAUCCCAUAUCCCUAAAAUUAAAAUGGCAAAUAUCCCGUAUCCCAAUAUACCCUAUACAAGCCUCUUAAGUC
rnacentral:lncRNA from 1 species